rnacentral:rRNA from 1 species
AUGAGGUUUACCUUUGUGGUUGCGGGUUGGCCGGGCUGUGCACAUGAUACAAGGGUCUUGAAUCACGCAUUAGCACACUUCCCUUCAUUUCCUAUACCACCCAAAGGGAAAUUCUAUCUUGUGGACUCUGGGUAUCCAAACCGAACAGGAUAUCUUGCUCCUUUUAAGGGGAGUACAUACCAUCUGCCGGAAUUUCGUCUUCGCCGUCACCGUCUACCUGAAGGGAAGUAUGAGUUCUUCAAGUUUUCACAUUCAUCCCUUUGA